YAUCNUGGCUCAGGACGAACGCUGCGGCGUGCUAAUACAUCAAGUCGAGCGAACAGAGAAGGAGCUUGCUCCUUUGACGUUAGCGGCGGACGGGUGAGUAACACGUGGGCAACCUACCUUAUAGUUUGGGAUAACUCCGGGAAACCGGGGCUAAUACCGAAUAAUCUAUUUUACUUCAUGGUGAAAUACUGAAAGACGGUUUCGGCUGUCGCUAUAAGAUGGGCCCGCGGCGCAUUAGCUAGUUGGUGAGGUAACGGCUCACCAAGGCGACGAUGCGUAGCCGACCUGAGAGGGUGAUCGGCCACACUGGGACUGAGACACGGCCCAGACUCCUACGGGAGGCAGCAGUAGGGAAUCUUCCACAAUGGGCGAAAGCCUGAUGGAGCAACGCCGCGUGAGUGAAGAAGGUUUUCGGAUCGUAAAACUCUGUUGUAAGGGAAGAACAAGUACAGUAGUAACUGGCUGUACCUUGACGGUACCUUAUUAGAAAGCCACGGCUAACUACGUGCCAGCAGCCGCGGUAAUACGUAGGUGGCAAGCGUUGUCCGGAAUUAUUGGGCGUAAAGCGCGCGCAGGCGGUCCUUUAAGUCUGAUGUGAAAGCCCACGGCUCAACCGUGGAGGGUCAUUGGAAACUGGGGGACUUGAGUGCAGAAGAGGAAAGUGGAAUUCCAAGUGUAGCGGUGAAAUGCGUAGAGAUUUGGAGGAACACCAGUGGCGAAGGCGACUUUCNGUCUGUAACUGACGCUAGGCNGAAAG
rnacentral:rRNA from 1 species